AUUAUUAUUAUUAUUAUUAUUAUACUUAUUAUUAUUAUUAUUAUUAUUAUUAUUAUUAUUAUUAUUAUUAUUAUACUUAUUAUUAUUAUUAUACAAUUUUUCAAUAUGAAAAAAAUUGAAUUGUUAGAAACAGAAGACACUAUGUUUCUUGUAUUGUAUGUUUGAGAGAUGUCAGUUCUCACUUUAUUAAAACGAGAGAGUGAGUAAGAAAAAGAGAGAGAGAAGAGAGAGAAAGAGAGAGAGAGAGAGAGAGAGAGAGAGACAGAGAGAGAGAGAGAGUGAGGCUGUGUAACGUAUAUAAAAAAAAAUAAAAAUAAAAAAUAUAUCAAAUAUAUAAGAACUCGAAUCGAGUCAGUAAAUGGUUAAUCUGUGUUUGUGUAUUCAAGACUAUAUAAUGUAGUGAAAAAAAUAAUUGAAAUAGAGAUUAUACAGAAACACAGAAAAACUUAACACGCAAAAUAUUAUUACCUGUGCCUCGCUUCGCUCUCUUUGUCUUUCUCUGGUUGUGCAAACUUUGUACACACAUUUUACCGGCGCGUUCGCUGUCGCAUAUCGUUGAAAAAUACACGCAAUCAAUUCGUGCAAAUGACCUCACACUUCCAUACCGAUAAAUGAUCAUUGAUAUAUACACAUACAUACAUACAUACAUACAUACAUACAUAUAUAUAUAGUGAUUAUAAUUAAUAUAAUAUUAUAAAUGCAUAUAUAUCUGUAUGUGUAUAUGUGUGUGUGUGUAUAUAUAUAUAUAUAUAUAUAUAUAGAUCUACUCAGUUCGAUGCUCUUCUUCGCGCAAAACCACGAUGAUAAUAAGAACGCCUCAGGACUAUCCGAGCUUACUGUCUCUUCUAUCUUGCGAACGUCUUUGUCGAUAUCGAUUGUUUACAAAAUAAUCGCAUCGCUGCUAUAUAUGUACCUUAGACUCGGUCGAAACCUUAGCUAUCAUUGUUAGAAAAGGUACACGUGCUAAUGUAAUACGAGAGCCUGUAAUAGAAAGAAAGAGAGAGAGUAGAGAAAGAGAAAGUGAGAGAGAGAGGAACUUUCUAACAAAUCGGAGUUUCGUUUGCGACAAAAAUUUCAAGACUAUAGAGAAUUUUUAUAAAUAUUACUUUGUUUUCAUUUUGUAUAUUUGACAAUUACGUUGAUGAAUAUUUCACUUUUGUUUGUUUUCUUUUCUUCUUGUUUCUGUUUUUGUUCUUUGUUUUGUUUUAUUCUGUUCUAUAUUGUUUUUAACAAUCUAUUGAUCUUUGAAAAGGAAUCUCAUCGUUAUCGUUUGAACAUAUAAACAAGUGAAUUCUUCGUUUGUCGAUAUUAUCUAAAUGUUAAAUAAAAUAACAUAGAUUUUGAAUUAUCGAUUAUUCUAUGGAUUUUGUGUUUGAAAUUGUACUUGUUUUGUCUUUCUUCGUUUUUCAUAGAGACGUUACUUCGUAGAGUCUCGCAAGAGAAUUUUUUGUCGCAAAUCAAUGAAAAAAGGGAACAAUAUCACGCGAACAAAGGAAUAAAAUAAUGAGCGAAAAAAAAGUAAGAACUAUCAUUUCGAGACUGUGUUCCGAAGAUAGAGAUUGAGGAAUUAAAGGGGAGAAGGUGGUAAAACAAUACGAUUGGUAAAAAUUUGAGAAAAGCCUCUGCGAGAAAAUGAUAAUAUUUAAUGCCUUUUUUUUAAUGAGGGAAUUUUCGAAACGAAGGAACUUUAAAAAUCGGAACUCGCAUCGAAAAAUGUGAGAGUAAGCGCGACUAUCAAUAUGAAAAAAAAAAAAUAUAGAUAAACAACAACAACGUUAGAGUGGUCAAUUCUGUUACGACGUACCGUUUAAGUUAAAACCCGGAAAUCAAAUAAACGAAAAGAAUAGAAAGGAAAAAAAAAAUUAAAGGGCAGCUAUUAUAAUCUUUCCGGAUUAAUGUCUCCAAUAUGCGUAUGCCACGAAAAUGUUCAUCUUUUUAUAUAUAUUGAAAACAAAGGGAAACAAAAAAAAAAAGAAAAAUAAGGGGAAAGAAAAAGAGGGGUAAAAAAAAGUAAUUAUGAAAAAAAAAACCAAUUCGAUGGCAGUGUUAAAACACGAACCUAUCGGAAUGUUUCUUCGAGUCUUAUAACUAACUAAAUAAUAAUAAUAAUAGUUAAACCCAAAACCGUUUAUAAACUUGCUAUUAAAAAGAACAAAGAGAAAAAAAAAUUACGAACGAAAGGGAGAGAGAGAGAGGAAAAGAAAGAGAAAGAGGAAAGAACUAAGCAUCGAGUCGUGUUUCUAUAUACGAUUAUACGAUUUUUUCCAUCUUCUUAUUCUUACGAGUGUAUUUUCUAAAAAAAAAAAAAAAAAAAAAAAAAAAAUAAAAAUAAAAAUAAAAAUAAAAUAAAAUAAAAAUAAAAAAGCGCGUGAUAUUGUCGUGUUGCGUCGGGGAAGAUCAAGAAGAAAAAAAAAAGAAACAACCGAACCGAAAGCAAAAAAGAAAUUUUAAAAGAAAGAAAAAAAGAGAAAAAAAAACAGGAAAAGAAUGAAAAAGUAUAAAAGGAAAAUCUGCUGUAGGCGCGCGAGAAAGAGAGAGAGAAGAGAAAAACGAUGACUAAAUUAUUCAAAGUUCGCGGUCCUUUGUUUCCUUAAAUACUUCCAUCAACAUCUCCCUCGAUACCCAUCCCUCACGUGUUCCUUUCUCCUCAACCUUUCAACUCCCCCAACUUUAGCCACAAGCCUAGCCUCUACUUAUUAUAUAUAUUAUUAACUUCCGACGAAGAGCAACGUAGAAAUCUUUCAAAGUUAACAUACAUAUGUACGUUCGAACUUCGUAAGACUGAACGGCCGUAUCGAUCAAGAGUGUGUGUAUGAUUAAAAAGAAAAAUAUAUGUAUAUGUAUUAAGAAAAAAAACAAACAAACAAAC